GACAGAGGGUGCAAACGUUGCUCGGAAUUACUGGGCGUAAAGCGCGUGUAGGCGGAUUGGCAAGUCAAACGUGAAAUCCCCGGGCUCAACCCGGGAACUGCGCUCGAAACUGCCAGUCUUGAGUGUCGGAGAGGGAAGCGGAAUUCCUGGUGUAGAGGUGAAAUUCGUAGAUAUCAGGAGGAACACCGGUGGCGAAGGCGGCUUCCUGGACGACAACUGACGCUGAGACGCGAAAGCGUGGGGAGCAAACAGG
rnacentral:rRNA from 1 species